rnacentral:ncRNA from 1 species
CAAAGCAUGAGCCGGUGCCCAUCUCCGACCACCGAAGCGUCGCUGCCAAGUCCCGCACCUCCAUGGAUUGGACCAGCGACGCAGACGUGGAACGGGGAUGGGCUGAGAUUAUACGGCCUCGAACUUGAUCUGGGUCAUACCAGCGAAAGGAUCAUGCGACCUAACACA